rnacentral:lncRNA from 1 species
CAGCCAUUGCAAUAAGCAAUCACUAUCAAUUAAUUGUCAAAUAGAAUAAAAAAUUAAGAAUCGUGAUGUUACACUCAUAUAAAAAAAGUAAAUUAAAAAAAAACAUGUAAAGUAAAAGCUAAAUUAAAAAAUAUUAAAUGUAAGAACUAAAUUAAAAAACAUUAAAAUUAAAUCAAAGUUCAAAAUUAAAUGGUACAAAAUAGUUGCUUCCCUCCUAGUAAUGUGAGGGCCAGUUUUUUUGGGCGUUUGAAAAGCAAUUUUACAUAUAAAAGUACUUUUGGGUGAAAAGUAAUGAAGAACACACUUCAUUUGGUAACAAAUUUCUAACUUCUUUGAAGUGCUUUUGACCAGAUGAAAAAGCAGAAAUUUUUAGCUUUUUCAGCCAAAAAGUACUUUUGGGCUGGUCUUUUUACCUUUUUAGCCACACACACAACACUGGUUCUUUGCUCUCAUCUCUUCUCCCAUCGCUGGUUCUUUGUUCCUCUGCUGAUUCUUUGUUCUUCUGCUGGUGCUGGUUCUUUGUUCCUCUGCUGCUUCUUUGUUCCUCUUCUCCACCACCGAUGAGUUUAUCUUUUUUUUCGUCUGGGUAACUCUAUUUUUUUCAGAUUUCUUUUACUGCUGGUGAUGUCUUGGAAAAUUAGUACACCAAAUUAUCCGUUGAUUUGCUUCCUUGAUCUCUAGGUUUAAUUCAUAGGAUGAGUUUUGUUACCUGAACUUUUAGCUACCUCUUGAGAAAAGGUGAAGAAUGAAAACGUUCAACUAGUCAAUUGCAAGACGAAAUAUUAAUUAACCGAUAUUUUUACAAAUUCACUGAAGACAAACAUAUUCACAAACUUAAAAGAAAAACAUAUAAUGAAAAAGCUGGAUUUGAGGGGAAGUUUUAAAAGUCAAAUCCACUUCAAGGUCGGCUUAUCAUAGAGAUAAGUUGAUAAGUUGGCUUGCUAGGUGGAAAGUUAUAAAUGGUUUUAAAUUGACAAUGCAUGGAUAGAAACAAUGUGGCAAGAAUCUAAGCAAUGUGGUAGCUUGCUGAAAGUAUGGCAGUAAGGUUAAGCCUCUAAGUCGGUUUAUAUAGCCUAUAUACAUACAUGUUUAGAUGUGUGGUGUGUAUAAGUGAGCAAAGAAAAAAGAAGUAUAAGUGAGAAAUAGAUAUUGAGAGUGAAAACUAGCAGCAGAUAGGAAUUGUGAAAAUACAAAAUAUCAGUUUUGGAUUAAAUAACGAUGUGAAGAGCAACAAGAAUGGAAAAAAAAUACUUACCUUUUUCUGCAUAUACUCUAUUUCAACAAACAACAGCUCAUUCUGGAAGAGUUUAGAGGGGAAAAAAUUAAAGGAGAAGGAAAAUUGUCAGAAACAUUUGGAAAACAAAUUGAGUACUAAUUGCAAGCUAAUAAUAGAACAUUCAAAUCAUCAUCCCAAAUUUAGCCCCAUUUUUCUUCUACUUUCUCUUUUUUCAGUCUAUAACAACAUUAUUUAUACUAAGAAAAGGAAUAAGUCAGAAAUUCCAAUCUUUUAGCUGUUACAUGAAUAUAUAGAUGAUAGAUAUUUCAAUCAUAGCUCCAACAUUAUGGUUUGUUUUUGUUUUUAUAUCAUCCAUAGGAAAAAAAAAACAAAGAGACUAUAAUUAUCA